UACGGGGGGGGCAAGCGUUGUUCGGAAUUACUGGGCGUAAAGGGUCUGUAGGUGGCCAACUAAGUCAGACGUGAAAUCCCUCAGCUUAACUGGGGAACUGCGUCUGAUACUGGAUGGCUUGAGUGUGGGAGAGGAAUGCGGAAUUCCAGGUGUAGCGGUGAAAUGCGUAGAUAUCUGGAGGAACACCGGUGGCGAAGGCGGCAUUCUGGACCACAACUGACACUGAGAGACGAAAGCCAGGGGAGCAAACGGG
rnacentral:rRNA from 1 species